AGCAGCCGCGGUAAUUCCAGCUCCAAUAGCGUAUAUUAAAGUUGUUGCAGUUAAAAAGCUCGUAGUUGAAUUUCAGGCCUGGCUGGACGGUCCGCCCUUCGGGUGAGUACUGUCUGUGGUCGGGUCCUACCUUCUGGCGAAGCGUCAUGGCCUUAACCGGCCGUGGCGGGGAACCAGGACUUUUACUGUGAAAAAAUUAGAGUGUUCAAAGCAGGCAAAUCGCUUGGAUACAUUAGCAUGGAAUAAUGGAAUAGGACGAUGGUUCUAUUUGUUGGUUUCUAGGACCGUUGUAAUGAUUAAUAGGGAUAGUUGGGGGCAUUAGUAUUCAACUGUCAGAGGUGAAAUUCUUGGAUUUAUUGAAGACUAACUACUGCGAAAGCAUUUGCCAAGGAUGUUUUCAUUAAUCAAGAACGAAAGUUAGGGGAUCGAAGACGAUCAGAUACCGUCGUAGUCUUAACCAUAAACUAUGCCGACUAGGAAUCGGGCGAUGUUGACAAAAUGACGCGCUCGGCACCUCAUG
rnacentral:rRNA from 1 species